rnacentral:lncRNA from 1 species
UUGACCCGAAUACCACGGUCAUAAAAAAAAUGUAUUUAUAACAAGUUAAUGCACAUCAUAAUAGUGUGUGUAAUGGUACUCUACAUCCACUAGCUUAGUGUUCUUACUCUUGGUCAAUGUGCAUAUUUGUACUCAACACUAAAAAGGAAAAAGGGCAAGCUUUGUUUUCUUUGUACUCCUUGACGUUGUUGUUAACAACUUAGAAUUACCUCCCAUUUAUGGUUCUUGGUUUAGAAAAAUUGCUUCUUUUUUACUGUAAUUUGUUAGCUAUAAUGGAGUUGUUUCACUAAUUGGGAACUAAAAAAAGAUCCAAUUUUGAUAAGAAUCUACAUAUUUAUACCAAUAUUUUGCUUCAGUUAUCGUAUUAUUUUACCACUGCUACUAUUCUUUUCAGCAUGGCUUCUUCGACUAUGUUCUUUCCCUUCUUGACAUUGUUGUUAAGAACUUAGAUUACCUUCUGUAUCUAGUUCUUGGUUCCGAAAAGAUUGAUUCUUUCUCACUGUACAUUGUCAGCUAUAAAUUAUUUGGAGUUCUUUCGCGAAUUAAGUAGUAGAAAAAGAUUCAAUUUUGAUAAAUCUAUGUAUUUAUACCAAGUUAAGGACCAUCAUCAUUGUGUGUGUAUGGUACUCGACAUCCACCGUUGAGGUAGGGGUAAAGUCUGGGCAUACUUUCUAUCCUCCCUAGAACACACUUUGUGGAACUACACUGUGUAUGUAUGUUUGAGCUAGUAACUACACUGUGUAUGUAUGUUUGAGCUAGUCUGACUACUAUGUCGUCAAUGUACUUACUGCCAUGGAGAUCAAAAUAUUUGACAGUGGCAGUACCAUUGAACAGCCACUGUCAAUACAACAACAACAAACCCAGUGAAUUCCCACCAAGUGGGGUCUGGGGAAGGUAAAAUGUACGCAGUUCAUACUGCUACUUCCGAAAAAGUAGAGAGGCUGUUUCCGAUAGACCCCCGGCUCAAGAUAAAGAAUAGUUAACAAGGUCAUAGUAAUAUCUGAGAACAGCCACUGUCAAUAUGCAAAAGAUUUGAGUUCAACUUCCUUCUGCUAAAGUUCAUAGUCCAAAUUUUUGUUUACCUCAAUGAAGUUGAGGGCAUGUAUGUCCCCUGGUUUGAUUAGACUGUUGACUAAGACAUUCAUGUUUCCAGUUGCACUUAAUCACGUUGCAUGAACUUGGUGUUGACAAGGUGAUGAUGUGACGAUGAUAACAUGGUGCUGACUAACAAUGACACUGUGUUAAUUGGGGAAGGUGAAUGCUAACUUGAUAUUAUAGGUGAUAUAGAUUGAUGUUAUCGAUUUGAGAAAAAAUGUGGAC